GAUGAACGCUAGCGGCAGGCUUAAUACAUGCAAGUCGAGGGGUAGCAAGAUUGUAGCAAUACAAUUGUUGACGACCGGCAAACGGGUGCGGAACACGUACACAACCUUCCUACAAGUGGGGAAUAGCCCAGAGAAAUUUGGAUUAAUACCCCGUAACAUAGCGAUGUGGCAUCACAUUGCUAUUAUAGCUUCGGCGCUUGUUGAUGGGUGUGCGGCUGAUUAGAUAGUUGGCGGGGUAACGGCCCACCAAGUCUACGAUCAGUAGCUGAUGGGAGAGCAUGAUCAGCCACACGGGCACUGAGACACGGGCCCGAUUCCUACGGGAGGCAGCAGUAAGGAAUAUUGGACAAUGGACGCAAGUCUGAUCCAGCCAUGCCGCGUGAAGGAUUAAGGUCCUCUGGAUUGUAAACUUCUUUUAUAAGGGACGAAAAAAGGUCUUUCUAGAUCGUCUGACGGUACCUUAUGAAUAAGCACCGGCUAACUCCGUGCCAGCCGCCGCAGUAAAAC
rnacentral:rRNA from 1 species